rnacentral:rRNA from 1 species
UACGAGGGGGGCAAGCGUUGUUCGGAAUUAUUGGGCGUAAAGGGCGCGUAGGCGGUGCGGUAAGUCACCUGUGAAAACUCUGGGCUCAACUCAGAGCCUGCAGGCGAAACUGCCGUGCUUGAGUGUGGGAGAGGUGCGUGGAAUUCCCGGUGUAGCGGUGAAAUGCGUAGAUAUCGGGAAGAACACCGGUGGCGAAGGCGGCGCUCUGGACCGAGACUGACGCUGAGGCGCGAAAGCGUGGGGAGCAAACAGG